rnacentral:rRNA from 1 species
AGUAACCUGCCCCUCACUCUGGGAUAACAUCGGGAAACCGGUGCUAAUACUGGAUAUGAGAUGCCUCCGCAUGGAGAGUGUCUGGAAAGAUUUAUCGGUGGGGGAUGGACUCGCGGCCUAUCAGCUUGUUGGUGGGGUAAUGGCCCACCAAGGCGACGACGGGUAGCCGGCCUGAGAGGGCGACCGGCCACACUGGGACUGAGACACGGCCCAGACUCCUACGGGAGGCAGCAGUGGGGAAUAUUGCACAAUGGGCGAAAGCCUGAUGCAGCGACGCCGCGUGGGGGAUGAAGGCCUUCGGGUUGUAAACCCCUUUCAGCAGGGAAGAAGCGAAAGUGACGGUACCUGCAGAAGAAGCGCCGGCUAACUACGUGCCAGCAGCCGCGGUAAUACGUAGGGCGCAAGCGUUGUCCGGAAUUAUUGGGCGUAAAGAGCUCGUAGGCGGUUUGUCGCGUCUGGUGUGAAAACUCAAGGCUCAACCUUGAGCUUGCAUCGGGUACGGGCAGACUAGAGUGCGGUAGGGGUGACUGGAAUUCCUGGUGUAGCGGUGGAAUGCGCAGAUAUCAGGAGGAACACCGAUGGCGAAGGCAGGUCACUGGGCCGCAACUGACGCUGAGGAGCGAAAGCAUGGGGAGCGAACAGGAUUAGAUACCCUGGUAGUCCAUGCCGUAAACGUUGGGCACUAGGUGUGGGGCUCAUUCCACGAGUUCCGUGCCGCAGCUAACGCAUUAAGUGCCCCGCCUGGGGAGUACGGCCGCAAGGCUAAAACUCAAAGGAAUUGACGGGGGCCCGCACAAGCGGCGGAGCAUGCGGAUUAAUUCGAUGCAACGCGAAGAACCUUACCAAGGCUUGACAUGCACCGGAACUGCUCAGAGAUGGGUAGGUCUUCGGACUGGUGCACAGGUGGUGCAUGGUUGUCGUCAGCUCGUGUCGUGAGAUGUUGGGUUAAGUCCCGCAACGAGCGCAACCCUCGUCCUAUGUUGCCAGCACGUUAUGGUGGGGACUCAUAGGAGACUGCCGGGGUCAACUCGGAGGAAGGUGGGGAUGACGUCAAAUCAUCAUGCCCCUUAUGUCUUGGGCUUCACGCAUGCUACAAUGGCCGGUACAAAGGGCUGCGAUACCGCGAGGUGGAGCGAAUCCCAAAAAGCCGGUCUCAGUUCGGAUUGGGGUCUGCAACUCGACCCCAUGAAGUCGGAGUCGCUAGUAAUCGCAGAUCAGCAACGCUGCGGUGAAUACGUUCCCGGGCCUUGUACAC